rnacentral:tRNA from 1 species
AUUUUUUAUUCAAGUAUGAUGUUAAAUUGCAAAUUUAAAGGUAACUAAAUUUAAGUUAAAAAUUUU